AGCUCCGUAGUGUAACCGAAAACACAUGAGACUUUGACUCUCGUAUUGCUAGUUUGAGUCUAGCCGGAGCUUCCA
rnacentral:tRNA from 1 species